AGAAGGUUUUAUCAUGGCUCAGGAUGAACGCUGGCGGCGUGCCUAAUACAUGCAAGUCGAGCGAAUGGAUUAAGAGCUUGCUCUUAUGAAGUUAGCGGCGGACGGGUGAGUAACACGUGGGUAACCUGCCCAUAAGACUGGGAUAACUCCGGGAAACCGGGGCUAAUACCGGAUAACAUUUUGAACCGCAUGGUUCGAAAUUGAAAGGCGGCUUCGGCUGUCACUUAUGGAUGGACCCGCGUCGCAUUAGCUAGUUGGUGAGGUAACGGCUCACCAAGGCAACGAUGCGUAGCCGACCUGAGAGGGUGAUCGGCCACACUGGGACUGAGACACGGCCCAGACUCCUACGGGAGGCAGCAGUAGGGAAUCUUCCGCAAUGGACGAAAGUCUGACGGAGCAACGCCGCGUGAGUGAUGAAGGCUUUCGGGUCGUAAAACUCUGUUGUUAGGGAAGAACAAGUGCUAGUUGAAUAAGCUGGCACCUUGACGGUACCUAACCAGAAAGCCACGGCUAACUACGUGCCAGCAGCCGCGGUAAUACGUAGGUGGCAAGCGUUAUCCGGAAUUAUUGGGCGUAAAGCGCGCGCAGGUGGUUUCUUAAGUCUGAUGUGAAAGCCCACGGCUCAACCGUGGAGGGUCAUUGGAAACUGGGAGACUUGAGUGCAGAAGAGGAAAGUGGAAUUCCAUGUGUAGCGGUGAAAUGCGUAGAGAUAUGGAGGAACACCAGUGGCGAAGGCGACUUCUGGUCUGUAACUGACAG
rnacentral:rRNA from 2 species